UGAAUCUCUGGACAGUUGUAUCCAGAACACCCUCUCAGCCCUCUACCCUCCCUUUGAUGCCACAGCCUCCACGGUGCUGUGUCAGGUAUUUGAUGUGGUGGAGACCAGCUACAGAGGAGACGGAUUAAGAUACCUUAUUGACUUCCUGGUCCCUGCCAAACACAUCCUGCAGACCAUCCAGCAACAUGCCUGUUUCCCGUACUGCGGCCUGUUAUUCCGGCACCAGGGCUGGCCUCUGUGUCUCCAGGACAAGGUGAUCAUCCAGCUCUCUCCUCUGGACCCACGUGUCCUCCGCCCCGGGGACUUCUACCUACAGGUGGCAUCGCCCUCUGUCUCCCCCAGCUCUUCCUCCACCAACACCCCCAACUCCUCCUCCACCAACACCCCCGGCUCCUCCUCCACCAACAC